UUUAGGUCUAUUGAUAAAAUGAUCAUGAUGACACGAUGCACAAUGGAUUUUGCAAAGGACCAACCAUUUUUGGAAUGAGUUUCAUAGUCUGUAAUUUUUGUGAUUUUAUCCAGGAAAUAUAGGAGCUGUGGUGAUGAAAUUUUCCAACACAAAAGAAAAAGACAUAGAAGCAGUAUGGUAAUCAAAUACUGGCUGAAGUCUCCAAAAACUCGGUUUACCAGCAAAGAGAAAUCUAAAAAUGUUCAAACACCGGAUCCAGGAGGAAAAUUUGAAUGCUUCAAAAAUUGAGAUUGAAUUGAGGUGCAGUAACAUAAACCAGUAUGUAGCUCAAAAAAAUGCUACUUCAAACAGAAAGAGAUUGAAGUAUUCUGGAGCACCACAAUAAGGAC
rnacentral:lncRNA from 1 species